rnacentral:rRNA from 1 species
AACGUAGGAGCCUAGCGUUAUCCGAAUUCACUGGGCGUAAAGCGCGUGCAGGCGGUUCGGUAAGUUGGAUGUGAAAUCUCCUGGCUCAACUGGGAGAGGACGUUCAAGACUGUCGGACUAGAGGACGGUAGAGGAAGGUAGAAUUCCUGGUGGAGCGGUGAAAUGCGCAGAUAUCAGGAGGAACACCCGUAGCGAAGGCGGCACUCUGGGCCGAUACUGACGCUGAGGAGCGAAAGCGUGGGGAGCGAACAGG